GCAGAGAUCAGAUGGCACAGGAUGAUUCCAGGCUUGAUUAAGUGCCUAUGGAAGCUGGGAAGCUUGAUCGGGCAUGAUCAAGCAUGAUCUGAUGGCUAGAGUAUCUUGUGGUGCUGAUCAAAUGGUACAGACACAUCUGGAGUCUGAUUGAGAGUAGUUCUUUGAUUUGAUCUGGGUUUUAUGGCUUUAAAUAGUCUUGUGGGUGA
rnacentral:lncRNA from 1 species